rnacentral:rRNA from 1 species
GCAGUCGAGCGGUAGGCCUUUCGGGGUACACGAGCGGCGAACGGGUGAGUAACACGUGGGUGAUCUGCCCUGCACUCUGGGAUAAGCUUGGGAAACUGGGUCUAAUACCGGAUAUGACCGCAUGCCGCAUGGUGUGUGGUGGAAAGAUUUAUCGGUGCAGGAUGGGCCCGCGGCCUAUCAGCUUGUUGGUGGGGUAAUGGCCUACCAAGGCGACGACGGGUAGCCGACCUGAGAGGGUGACCGGCCACACUGGGACUGAGACACGGCCCAGACUCCUACGGGAGGCAGCAGUGGGGAAUAUUGCACAAUGGGCGGAAGCCUGAUGCAGCGACGCCGCGUGAGGGAUGAAGGCCUUCGGGUUGUAAACCUCUUUCAGCAGGGACGAAGCGUGAGUGACGGUACCUGCAGAAGAAGCACCGGCUAACUACGUGCCAGCAGCCGCGGUAAUACGUAGGGUGCGAGCGUUGUCCGGAAUUACUGGGCGUAAAGAGUUCGUAGGCGGUUUGUCGCGUCGUUUGUGAAAACCCGGGGCUCAACUUCGGGCUUGCAGGCGAUACGGGCAGACUUGAGUGUUUC